UUGAAAGGGAAACGAUUGAAGUCAGUCGUACCUGCGGGUAAUCAGCCUUUUGGGCAUGAUUCUGUGGAGCGUGAGGAGUUAAACGCCUUCAUGCCUGCAUAUUCGUGUACUUUGGGUGUACUUGCCUGUGUGGUUAGUUAACAUCAAUUUUGGUUAUCAUAAAAUGGUUGGAGGAAUGUAGCUUCGAUUUCGAUUGAAGUGUUAUAGCCUUCGGCAGAUGUGAUGAUCGGGAUUGAGGAUUGCAACGGAUACCCUUUGGGGCUACCUGUCUGGUCUCUGAUCGUUGCUUUGGUGCCGAAAGCGUGCUUACGGUUAUCAAAGUCGAUGGUCAAUAGGUUAGAACGGGUUAAAUUCGUUAAGGAUGUUGACGUA
rnacentral:rRNA from 1 species